GAUUGAACGCUGGCGGCAGGCCUAACACAUGCAAGUCGAGCGGAAACGGCAACAUUGACUCUUCGGAUGAUUUGUUGGACGUCGAGCGCGGCGGGUGAGUAAUGCCUGGGAAAUUGGCCCUAUGUGGGGGAUAACCAUUGGAAACGAUGGCUAAUACCGCAUAAUAGCUUCGGCUCAAAGAGGGGGACCUUCGGGCCUCUCGCGUCAGGAUAUGCCCAGGUGGGAUUAGCUAGUUGGUGAGGUAAAGGCUCACCAAGGCGACGAUCCCUAGCUGGUCUGAGAGGAUGAUCAGCCACACUGGAACUGAGACACGGUCCAGACUCCUACGGGAGGCAGCAGUGGGGAAUAUUGCACAAUGGGCGCAAGCCUGAUGCAGCCAUGCCGCGUGUAUGAAGAAGGCCUUCGGGUUGUAAAGUACUUUCAGUUGUGAGGAAGGUGGUGCCGUUAAUAGCGGUAUCAUUUGACGUUAGCAACAGAAGAAGCACCGGCUAACUCCGUG
rnacentral:rRNA from 1 species